rnacentral:lncRNA from 1 species
AAGAAAACGAAAAGCGCAGUUUAUUUUGGUUUUUAAAGAGAGUAAACGAAAAAGAUUAACAACGAGAAAAAGAAAUCAUUUGGAACGUUUGGAUGCGUAUAACAAAGACGCACCAUCCAAUUAGCCGCAUCACCGGUGACUUGGAGGACGAGCAUUACGCGGAGCUCGCUAUUAGUUUAAGUAAAUAUUUGAUUAUUUUGAUGUUAUUAUUAAAUAAAGCGAAAUAAUAAAAAAACUGAAUUUUAUUUAAAAGAAUUGAAUUUGCUAGAAGUAACAAAUGGGUAACAGAUAAUCUUGUUACUGCUUGUUCUUGCUAACAUGCUUAUAUGUUAUAGGUAACAAACUGAUAACGAAAAUAAUAACACUAACAGAUAUUCGGGUAACAAAU